AACGAACGCUGGCGGCAAGCCUAACACAUGCAAGUCGAACGCCCUCGCAACAGGGAGUGGCAGACGGGUGAGUAACGCGUGGGAACGUGCCCUUCGGUUCGGAAUAACUCAGGGAAACUUGAGCUAAUACCGAAUACGUGCGAGAGCAGAAAGAUUUAUCGCCGAAGGAUCGGCCCGCGUCCGAUUAGCUAGUUGGUGAGGUAAUGGCUCACCAAGGCGACGAUCGGUAGCUGGUCUGAGAGGAUGAUCAGCCACACUGGGACUGAGACACGGCCCAGACUCCUACGGGAGGCAGCAGUGGGGAAUAUUGGACAAUGGGCGCAAGCCUGAUCCAGCCAUGCCGCGUGAGUGAUGAAGGCCCUAGGGUUGUAAAGCUCUUUCGCCAGGGGCGAUAAUGACGGUACCUGGAUAAGAAGCCCCGGCUAACUUCGUGCCAGCCGCCGCGGUAA
rnacentral:rRNA from 1 species